GCGUCAAUCGUCUAGGGGUUAGGAUGGCUCCCUUCCAUUAAGUUGUGUCAGGAGUCGGCCGGCGUUCGAAUCGCCGUUGACGCA